rnacentral:rRNA from 1 species
UUCAAUGUGGAAAUUUCACACUAGAGGUGUCAGAAAAGU